rnacentral:rRNA from 1 species
AGUUCGAUUCUGGCUCAGAUUAAACGCUGGCGGGGAUGCUUUACACAUGCAAGUCGAACGGCAGUACUGAUCUCUGGUCUGGUGGCGAGGCGAACGGCAGUAAUGGUCGAACGUGCCUAGUAGCGGGGGAUAACUACGCGAAAGCGUAGCUAAUACCGCAUACGCCCUUCGGGGGAAAGCGGGGGACCUCGGGCCUCGCACUAUUAGGAGCGGCCGAUGACGGGAUUGAAUAGUUGGUGGGGUAACGGCUCACCAAGGCGACGAUCCGUAGCUGGUUUGAGAGACGACCAGCCACACUGGGACUGAGACACGGCCCAGACUCCUACGGGAGGCAGCAGUGGGGAAUUUUGGACAAUGGGGAACCCCGAUCCAGCCAUCCCGCGUGUGCGAUGAAGGCCUUCGGGUUGUAAAGCACUUUUGGCAGGAAAGAAACGGCACGGAUACUCCCGUGCAACUGACGGUACCUGCAGAAUAAGCACCGGCUAACUACGUGCCAGCAGCCAGAAGAAGGUAGGCAAGCGUUAACUGGCACCACGGGCGUAAAAGCGCGCAGGCGGUUCGGCAGAAAGAUGUGAAAUCCCGGUUUUCAACUUUGGAACUGCAUUUUGAAUGAGCUAGAGUGUCAGAGUGAGGUGGAAAUUCCGCGUGUAGCAGUGAAAUGCGUAGAUAUGCGGAGGAACACCGAUGGCGAAGGCAGCCUCCUGGGAUAACACUGACGCUCAUGCACGAAAGCGGGGAGCAAAACAGGACAGAUACCCGGUAGUCCACGCCCUAAACGAUGUCAACUAGCUGUUGGGGCCUCGGGCUUGUAGCGCAGCUAACGCGUGAAGUUGACCGCCUUGGGGAGUACGGUCGCAAGAUUAAACCUCAAAGGAAUUGACGGGGACCCGCACAAGCGGUGGAUGAUGUGGAUUAAUUCGAUGCAACGAAACCUUACCUACCCUUGACAUGUCUGGAAUCCCGAAGAGAUUUGGGAGUGCUCGCAAGAGAACCGGAACACAGGUGCUGCAUGGCCGCUGUCGCUCAGGCCGGAGAUGUUGGGUUAAGUCCCGCAACGAGCGCAACCCUUGUCAUUAGUUGCUACGAAAGGUACCCCAUCGAGACUGCCGGUGACAAACCGGAGGAAGGUGAUGAUUGGCUUCAAGUCCUCAUGCCUUAUGGGUAGGGCUUCACACGUCAUACAAUGGUCGGGACAGUGGUCGCCAACCCGCGAGGAGCCAAUCCCAGAAACCUGAUCGUAGUCCGGAUCGCAGUCUGCAACUCGACUGCGUGAAGUCGGAAUCGCUAGUAAUCGCGGACCAGCAUGUCGCAGAACAUUGUCUCCGGGUCUUGUACACACCGCCUGUCACACCAUGGGAGUGGGUUUUACCAGAAGUAGUUAGCCGAACUGAAGGAGGGCGAUUACCACGGUAGGAUUCAUGACUGGGGUGAAGUCGUAACAAGGUA